CCUAUUGGUAUCGAAGAUACGGGCUAAAGGGUUGAAACUCAACAUUGCUAUCUGUAGAGAGAAUAAUUUUUAGUUAAAUAUUUAUACUUAUAAAAUUAUUUAUUCUAGAGACUUUAAAAAUAAAUAAAGGCUCUCACUAUUUCUUUGAAUCUCUCACACUCCUCGGGUGGAGAAACAAAAACCUAUAUGUGAUCAAUUUCAAGUGGGUACUGCGAUCCCAUUAAUCUAUACACACCU
rnacentral:lncRNA from 1 species